rnacentral:RNase_P_RNA from 2 species
GGAGUUGGCUCGGCAAUCGCUUUAUGUUUUGCUUGGGUGUUCAUUUUGAUUAUUCAAACUGGUCACCUAAGGCGGCACUAAGAGGAAAGUCCGGGCUCCAUAGGGUAGAGUGCCAGGUAACCUCUGGGGGGCGCGAGCCUACGGAAAGUGCAGCAGAAAAUAAACCGCCUGCUAUUUAUAGUCGGUAAGGGUGAAAUGGUGCGGUAAGAGCGCACCGCGCAACUGGUAACAGUUUGUGGCAUGGUAAACCCCACUCGGAGCAAGAUCAAAUAGGAAUCCAUUUGCUCAAGGCUUAGGCUUUUUGUAUAAGGCGUGAUCCGCGUUGGAUUCGGGUAGAUUGCUUAAGAUGUAUGGUGACAUGCAUCGUAGAUGAAUGAUUGUCCACGACAGAACCCGGCUUACAGGCCAACUCCAAUU